AUUGAACGCUGGCGGCAGGCCUAACACAUGCAAGUCGAGCGGAUGAAGGGAGCUUUCUCCUGGCUUCAGCGGCGGACGGGUGAGUAAUGCCUAGGAAUCUGCCUGGUAGUGGGGGAUAACGUCCGGAAACGGGCGCUAAUACCGCAUACGUCCUGAGGGAGAAAGUGGGGGAUCUUCGGACCUCACGCUAUCAGAUGAGCCUAGGUCGGAUUAGCUAGUUGGUGGGGUAAAGGCCUACCAAGGCGACGAUCCGUAACUGGUCUGAGAGGAUGAUCAGUCACACUGGAACUGAGACACGGUCCAGACUCCUACGGGAGGCAGCAGUGGGGAAUAUUGGACAAUGGGCGAAAGCCUGAUCCAGCCAUGCCGCGUGUGUGAAGAAGGUCUUCGGAUUGUAAAGCACUUUAAGUUGGGAGGAAGGGCAGUAAGUUAAUACCUUGCUGUUUUGACGUUACCAACAGAAUAAGCACCGGCUAACUUCGUG
rnacentral:rRNA from 1 species